rnacentral:lncRNA from 1 species
CAUUGGUGGUGGUGAUGGUGAGGUCGGGGCUGGGAUGUCAUUGUCAUUGGUGGUGGUGAUGGUAAGGUCAGGACUGUAGCAUCGUCAUUGGUGGUGGUGAUGGUGAGGUCGGAGCUGUGAUGUCGUUGUCAUUGGUGGUGGUGAUGGUGAGGUCGGAGCUGUGAUGUCAUUGUCGUUGGUGGUGGUGAUGGUGAGGUCAGGGCUGUAGCAUCGUCAUUGGUGGUGGUGAUGGUGAGGUCGGGGCUGUGAUGUCGNNNNNNNNNNCUGUGAUGUCGUUGUUGGUGGUGGUGGUGAUGGUGAGGUCACUGUAGGAAAGCCCAGCAGAAUGGCCCUGAAGCGUGGGCUCCGUCCCUGAUAUGCCUUCCCAUGAUCUCUUUUCCUAAGGAAAAAUCAGAAUAAAUGAAGGGUGAAGGCAGCCUUGAAAAUGAAGCAAAUUAUAAAGGUAAACUACACGCGAAAACUUCAGGGGAGUCUAAACGUUUUAUCUCGAUGAUUAAUGGGUGCCUUGGGUAGCAUUCUCUACAUGUCUUAGGGCAUCAGGAAACAGAACUGCCCUAUUUUUUCUCAGAGAUUUAUUCAUUCAAUGAACAUAUAUUAAGUACCAAGUAUUUCCAGGUCUUAUUCCAGUGAUUGGAAUUCAAUAAUAAACUUACUGACAAAUUCCCCUGUGUCUGUAGAACUUACAAUCUGAUGGGUAAUAAAACAGGUCAGUAACAAUAAAAAUUGCAAUAAAUAAGUGGAGUAGGAAUUAAAUGAUAAAAGGUACUAUGUAUGUAAGAAUAAGGGAUCCUGGACACAGUUGUGAGCAAGGCUGCGAGGCUAAGUGUGCAGUCAGGGUGGGCAUCCCUGUGGAGGUGAUGUCUGAGCCUCCAUUACACUCAGAUGUGGACAUGAGCUGCCUGGGAAAGGAACAUUCCAGAGAAAGGCACAGCCAGGGUAAGGCUCUGACCUGUGUCCUGCAUGCUCAGUGAAGCUGCUUGGUUCAAGUGGAAUGAAAACAAGGAGAAUAAAAUUUUUUUUAAGUAUCAGAAUUUGCUCAGAUGCCAUCUCUACAGGUCGCUCCUUUCUCCUGAGGGAUCUGAAGGUGUUGUCCGCGGAGCUGCUGUGACGACAACACCCCACAUUGUUCCCCAUACACUCAGCCUCCCUUGCUGUGGGUGAGGCCACGUGGCCAUUUCUGGCCGAUAGACUGCAAGGGGAAAAGCUAUGCCACUUCUACCAAAGCAGGUAGAACAGAGCACAUCUUCACCUUUGUGUCCUGCCCUAUGUGAGGACCUCAGAAUCCUCACACAGGGAGCGUGCAGCUGCUGCUGGUGGAGCCCAGCAGACAGACCCCGAGUGACUGUGGAUUCAUGAGUUNNNNNNNNNNNNNNNNNNNNNNNNNNNNNNNNNNNNNNNNNNNNNNNNAAUAAAAUAAGUCA